ACCGCCCUUGGCAUUAAACGCUAAUUUGACUCCUGAGUUGCAGAGCAUUUCUACCUGUGGGAGCCGUCAGAUCGAUAAAUGCUUUUUAAAAUGCUAACUCCACUUGUGAAAAUCCUUGAUGUAGACCACGGGAGAUGGACAACGAGAAGCGUGAGAGCUGUACCUUACCGAGUUGCAGAAAUCCAAUGUCGAUCCUAUAGACAAGAUUCCAGCCGAACGGCAGUAAGGAGAGGAAAAGACACAUGGAACGAUACAAACAGAAGUAGUGGCAGGUGGCGUAGGGAAGGGACACGCAAGGUGUCCUCGGAGUCCUGCUGCAUCCUGGCGUCGAGGGGAGGGUCAGGGGGAGUCCUUUAGCUCUGAAAGAAGCAUGGCAGGUGCGGGUUUUCUUCCCAGUGUAGUAGGUUACAGUGUUUUCCUUCCUGUGUUCACAAGGAUAAAAGAUGAACUGUAACUUGUGAAUGGAAAUCACGUGGUCCGUAUUCAGCAGUCACUCCCACGUUUAACUAGUCUUCCCCGGUACAAUUCCCAGCCCUCAGAUACCUUCCAGAUACCUGAGUGCUGACUCGGUGGCCCGGACAUCUGUUGUCAGGCUGGAGAAGCUGCUUUGAACAUCCGGGGUGGCAGCUUUGGAAUGAAUCAGCUCCCCUGCACCUUCCGUGGUGACUCUGUUCGGUUUUGUUAUUCCAAGUUUUCACUGAUCCGAUUUCAUUCUUAAAGACUGGUGACCGGUCAAACCUAGGGAGGAUGUUGGCGUCCCUAACCCCUGGUUGUUCCCAUGUCAACUGUCCUGGAUUUGUUGUGCUGAGCACUAGCGAUUCAUUGGUGGGUGAAGACAGGAGUGAGUAAAAUAUCCGUGCCUGGUGGGCCUUACGUCCUAACGAUGGAAGAGACACGCUGAAUAUAUAAUUUUAGUUUUCCUGUAAGUGCCAUGGAGAAAAAUCAAAGUACGUGAGGGAGAUUGACAGACACGGGUGUGAGCCCCGGUGGAUUACCUCUUUCACUUGUACUCUCAUUUUUCUGAAUGACUCCAUUCCUUCAUUUAAAAGCCAGUGGCUCUUGAAUUUUUGUGAUGGCUCUAGAGCCAAUGUACUGUCAGCAGUCUCUAAAAUAACUACAAAUAUUCUCUCGUUUUCAAAUCUCAUGCAAAGUAAAAGGCUCUGAGGAGCUGCUCACAGCUUUUUAUGCUUUGUCCGUGGAAUCUUAUAAAAUGAUAGCGCUCUGUGUGGUGUCUUCGGGAUAUUGAUUCAUUAAAAAUCAAAUUUAUAGUGUCAGAACCGAAGAACUAUAUUUAUUACAUGCAUUGAAAUUUAUGCAAGUUAAGGCUUUGCUUUUGUUUUUGUUUUCUGGGUUUUUCUGGCCUAAUUUUAUUGCCACAAUUGUAUCCAUGGUCAGUAACCAUGUGAAAUCCUAUGUUUAUGAUUGAAACUUUUUGAACGAUUUUUUAAAACUUUGCAAUAAUAUUAGGCUAACUGGCCCAUUUAGAAAAUGAAGAGUUUCUCGUGUAAGCAAUUUUUUGUGAGCUCAUGAUUCUAAUUCGUUUGUGCGUGAACUUAAGGUUGGUGCACUCCCGUGGAUGUUCUGAGCAUAUGUAUUUGAGAGUAUUUUCUAGAGCCUCCCUUGGAUUCUUGAUCCAAAAAGCAGACCAUCCCCUGCUGCGGUAGAACCACUGUUUUGAACGGGAGGGAAAUAGUAACUUCAGUCAAGCACUGUAAACUGAGGAACGUGUCUCCAAAAGUUUCCAGGGGCAGAGAGCAGUGUUAGAGGUUCAUAGGCGUGCCAGAUGUUUCCAGAGCAUCUCAG